rnacentral:rRNA from 1 species
GACGAACGCUGGCGGCGUGCUUAACACAUGCAAGUCGAACGGAAAGGCCCUGCUUUUGUGGGGUGCUCGAGUGGCGAACGGGUGAGUAACACGUGAGUAACCUGCCCUUGACUUUGGGAUAACUUCAGGAAACUGGGGCUAAUACCGGAUAGGAGCUCCUGCUGCAUGGUGGGGGUUGGAAAGUUUCGGCGGUUGGGGAUGGACUCGCGGCUUAUCAGCUUGUUGGUGGGGUAGUGGCGUACCAAGGCUUUGACGGGUAGCCGGCCUGAGAGGGUGGCCGGCCACAAUGGGACUGAGGUACGGCCCAGACUCCUACGGGAGGCAGCAGGGGGGAAUAUUGCGCAGUGGGCGGGAGCCAGAUGCAACAACGCCGCGUGCGGGAUGCCGGCCUUCGGGUUGUAAACCACUUUCGCCUGAGACGUAGCCGGAGUGACGGUAAUUGGUAAAGAAGCACCGGCUAACUACGUG